rnacentral:rRNA from 1 species
GUUCGAUCCUUUACCAGAUUGAACGCUGGCGGGAUGCUUUACACAUGCAAGUCGAACGGCAGCACGGACUUCGGUCUGGUGGCGAGUGGCGAACGGGUGAGUAAUGUAUCGGAACGUGCCUAGUAGCGGGUAUUAACUACGCGAAAGCGUAGCUAAAUACCGCAUACGCCCUUCGGGGGAAAGCGGGGACCUUUCGGGCCUCGCACUAUUAGAGCGGCUGAUAUCGGAUUAGCUAGUUGGCAGGGUAACGGCUCACCAAGGCGACGAUCCGUAGCUGGUUUGAGAGGACGACCAGCCACACUGGGACUGAGACACGGCCCAGACUCUACGGAGGCGGCAGUGGGGAAUUUUGACAAUGGGGGAAACCCUGAUCCAGCCAUCCCGCGUGCGAUGAAGGCCUUCGUCAGGUGUACACCCCUUUUUGGCAGGAAAGAAACGGCACGGGAUAAUACCCUUGUGCAACUGACGGUACCUGCAGGAACAAGCACCAAGGUCGUCGCACAGCAGCCGUAAUACGUAGGUAGUAGGCAAGCGUUAAUCGGAAUUACUGGGCGUAAAGCGUGCGCAGGCGGUUCGGAAAGAAAGAUGUGAAAUCCCAGAGCUUAACUUUGGAACUGCAUUUUUAGCUACCGAGCUAGAGUGUGUCAGAGGGAGGUGAAUUCCCGCGUGUAGCAGUGAAAUGUGAGACAUGCGGAGGAACACCGAUGGCGAAGGCAGCCUCUGGGAUAACACCGACGCUCAUGCACGAAAGCGUGGGGAGCAAACAGGAUUAGAUGUCCGGUAGUCCACGCCCUAAACGAUGUCAACUAGCUGUUGGGGCCUUCGGGCCCGGUAGCGCAGCUAACGCGUGAAGUUGACCGCCUGGGGAGUACGGUCGCAGAUUAAAACUCAGCGAAUUGACGGGGACCCGCACAAGCGGUGGAUGAUGUGGAUUAAUUCGAUGCAACGCGAAAAACCUUACUCACCCUUGACAUGUCUGAACCCAAAGAGAUUUGGGAGUGCUCGCGGCGAGAACCUCAACACAGGUGCUGCAUGGCUGUCGUCAGCUCGCCGCAGAUGUUGGGUUAAGUCCCGCAACGAGCACAACCCUUUGUCAUUAGUUGCUACGAAAGGGCACUCUAAUGAGACUGCCGGUGACAAACCGAGGAAGGUGGGGAUGACGUCAAGUCCUCAUGCAGCCUUUAUGGGUAGGGCUUCACACGUCAUACAAUGGUCGGGAGAGGGUCGCCAACCCGCGAGGGGGACAAUCCCAGAAACCUGAUCGUAGUCCGGAUCGUAGUCUGCAACUCGACUGCGUGAAGUCGGAAUCGCUAGUAAUCGCGGAUCAGCAUGUGUCGGGUACGUCUUCGGGUCUUGUGUACACACCGCCCGUCACACCAUGGGAGUGGUUUUACCAGAAGUAGUUAGCCUAACCGUGCGAGGGCGAUUACCACGGUAGGAUUCAUGACUGGGGUGAAGUCGUAACAAGGUAACC